rnacentral:rRNA from 1 species
CCUACGGGCGGCUGCAGUGAGGAAUAUUGGUCAAUGGACGAGAGUCUGAACCAGCCAAGUAGCGUGAAGGAUGACUGCCCUAUGGGUGGUAAACUUCUUUUAUAAAGAAGUAAAACGAGGCACGUGUGCAUUUUUGCAUGUACUUUAUGAAUAAGGAUCGGCUAACUCCGUGCCAGCAGCCGCGGUAAUACGGAGAGUCCGAGCGUUAUCCGGAUUUAUUGGGUGUAAAGGGAGCGUAGAUGGGUUGGUAAGUCAGUGGUGAAAGUUUGCGGCUCAACCGUAAAAUUGCAAUUGAUACUGGCAGUCUUGAGUACAGUUGAGGUAGGCGGAAUUCGUGGUGUAGCGGUGAAAUGCGUAGAUAUCACGAAGAACCCCGAUUGCGAAGGCAGCUUACUAAACUGUGACUGACAUUGAUGCUCGAAAGUGUGGGUAUCAAACAGGAUUAGAUACCCUUGUAGUC